rnacentral:rRNA from 1 species
CGCAAAUUACCCACUCUCAAUUCGAGGAGGUAGUGACAACAACUAACGAGACUGCUCCCUUAUGGGAACAGUCAUCGAAAUGGGUACAAUUUAAACCCUUUAACGAGGAUCAAUGAGAGGGCAAGUCUGGUGCCAGCAGCCGCGGUAAUUCCAGCUCUCAAAGUGUAUGUCAUUAUUGCUGCGGUUAAAAAGCUCGUAGUUGGAUCUGAGCCUUUGGAUACGGUUCACCUCUGGUGAUACUGGCUCCGGGGUUAAUUUCGUCGGUUCUCCGGCGAGAGUUACUCUGAAUAAAUCAGAGUGCUCAAAACAAGCGUUUCGCUUGAAUGUUUUUGCAUGGAAUAAUGGAAAAGGACUUCGGUUCCUUACUGUUGGUUUCGGAAUUGGAUUAAUGAUUAAGAGGGACCAACGGGGGCAUGCGUACCGCUACGCGAGAGGUGAAAUUCAUGGACCGUAGCGUGACGAACUAAAGCGAAAGCAUUUGCCAAGAAUGUCUUCAUUAAUCAAGAACGAAAGUCAGAGGUUCGAAGGCGAUUAGAUACCGCCGUAGUUCUGACCGUAAACGAUACCAUCUAGCGAUCCGGUGGUGGUUUUACCGCCUUGCCGGGGAGCUUCCCGGAAACGAAAGACUUCCGGUUCCGGGGGUAGUAUGGUUGCAAAGCUGAAACUUAAAGGAAUUGACGGAAGAGCACCACCAGGAGUGGAGCCUGCGGCUUAAUUUGACUA